rnacentral:rRNA from 1 species
AUUGAACGCUGGCGGCAUGCCUUACACAUGCAAGUCGAACGGCAGCACGGGUGCUUGCACCUGGUGGCGAGUGGCGAACGGGUGAGUAAUACAUCGGAACAUGUCCUGUAGUGGGGGAUAGCCCGUCGAAAGCCGGAUUAAUACCGCAUACGAUCUACGGGUGAAACCGGGGGACCUUCGGGCCUCGCGCUAUACGGUUGGCCGAUGGCUGAUUAGCUAGUUGGUGGGGUAAAGGCCUACCAAGGCGACGAUCAGUAGCUGGUCUGAGAGGGCGACCAGCCACACUGGGACUGAGACACGGCCCAGACUCCUACGGGAGGCAGCAGUGGGGAAUUUUGGACAAUGGGCGAAAGCCUGAUCCAGCAAUGCCGCGUGUGUGAAGAAGGCCUUCGGGUUGUAAAGCACUUUUGUCAGGAAAGAAAUACUUGGCCCUAAUACGGUCGGGGGAUGACGGUACCGGAAGAAUAAGCACCGGCUAACUACGUG